GACGAACGCUGGCGGCGUGCUUAACACAUGCAAGUCGAACGCUGAAGCUUGGGGCUUGCACUGGGUGGAUGAGUGGCGAACGGGUGAGUAAUACGUGAGUAACCUGCCCUUGACUCUGGGAUAAGCCUGGGAAACUGGGUCUAAUACUGGAUACGACAUGUCACCGCAGGGUGGUGUGUGGAAAGGGUUUUACUGGUUUUGGAUUGGCUCACGGCCAAUCAGCUAGUUGGUGGGGUAAUGGCUCACCAAGGCGACGACGGAUAGCCGGCCUGAGAAGGUGACCAGCGUCACUGCGACUACGAGACGGCGCAGACUGGUACGGGAGGCAACGGGGGGAAGUAUUGCGCAGUGAGCCGGAGCCUGAGACGAAGGCGCCGGGUGAGGAAAGACGGCCUUCGGGUUAAGAACCUCUUUCAGCGCGGAAAAAGCGGUAGUGACGGUACGUGAAGAAGAAGCGCCGGCUAACUACGUG
rnacentral:rRNA from 1 species